rnacentral:rRNA from 1 species
GAUCCAGCCAUGCCGCGUGAGUGAAGAAGGCCUUCGGGUUGUAAAGCUCUUUCGGCCGGGAAGAAAUCGCAUGGGUCAAUACCCUGUGUGGAUGACGGUACCGGAAUAAGAAGCACCGGCUAACUACGUGCCAGCAGCCGCGGUAAUACGUAGGGUGCGAGCGUUAAUCGGAAUUACUGGGCGUAAAGCGUGCGCAGGCGGUUUGGUAAGUCAGAUGUGAAAUCCCCGGGCUCAACCUGGGAACUGCAUUUGAGACUGCCAAGCUGGAGUUUGGCAGAGGGGGGUGGAAUUCCACGUGUAGCAGUGAAAUGCGUAGAGAUGUGGAGGAACACCGAUGGCGAAGGCAGCCCCCUGGGCCAAUACUGACGCUCAUGCACGAAAGCGUGGGGAGCAAACAGGAUUAGAUACCCUGGUAGUCCACGCCCUAAACGAUGUCAACUAGGUGUUGGGAGGGUUAAACCUUUUAGUGCCGUAGCUAACGCGUGAAGUUGACCGCCUGGGGAGUACGGCCGCAAGGCUAAAACUCAAAGGAAUUGACGGGG